rnacentral:rRNA from 1 species
AGCAGGUUAAUAUUCCUGCCCCUGCAUGCAGUGUGAAAAAGUGACGGAGCGACGUGGAUGGUACGUACUGACGGAAUAGUGCGUUGAGCCGAGCCUACGGGCAAAGCGAAUCAUCGAAGACGCUUCCAAGAAAAGCUUUUGAAACGCCAGCUGUAUGCAGCCCGUACCGUAAACCGACACAGGUAGUCGAGAAGAAUAUUCUAAGGUGCUCGAGUGAAUCA